UGUCCAUCACCUGCCAGAGCUGUGGAGCUGGGGCCUGGCAUCCUCAAUCCCAAGGUCUGUAGAAGAGCAGCAGUACCCACCCCACCCCAGAGGCCCUCCUUUCUUUCCCUUCACCCCGCCUCCCUGCUUUACCCUCCUUCAAAAGCAGCCAAGCCCAAAGAGGCCUGCAGACAGCCCUGAGUUCAUCUCCAAAAGCUGCUGCCCAGACAGCCGCAGAGAGCUUCUCAGGAUGAAAGGCUUCCUCUUCCUCCUCUUCACCAUCAGCCUCUUGAUUAUGGUUCAGAUACAAACCGGAGUCCUGGGAAGCAACCGCACCUUCACCACCUACAAGAAACCCCAAAGUGGCUCCCCAGCCUUCAGCAGCCUGGCCGGUGGCAGCAUCCUUUUCUUCUUGACCAAUACCCUCAUCCAGCUCUUCCACCUCACCUGAGCUGACACGCCCCAGCCCUCAUCUCAUGCCCCCCCAAGACAGCGGCCAUCGUCACUAGCAGGAGAAGCACCCCCAAUCCUUGGGAGGUGCUGAUGCUAGAGAUGAGCAGGUUAUAGGAAUUGAUGGGCAGAGCUUGGGGUGGGGCCCAUGGCUGACACAGGGAGGUUCUGACAUGGAGGAGGAAGCACCUCCCAGCUGGGGGUCAAUAAAGCUGUUGUGUACUUGGA